GCUAGCCAAGAGACAUGGGUAUAUGAGUUUGACAUGUAAACAAGUCAACAAUCAUCGAAAUGGAGUGAAAAAACCACGCCAAAACCGCUCAAAAGUAAAGGUCAUGCUUAUUGUUUUUUUCGAUAUUCGUGGCUUGGUGCAUCAUGAAUUUGUUUCGGAAGGGAUAGACGGUCAAUGAGGAGUUCUAUUUGGACGUAUUGAGGAAUGAUUUAGUUCAACAAAUCUGGCUUUUAAUACUCCCCAAAGGAGUAGGAAAUACCGAGUCAUAAAUUUGGCCUUAGGAAUAAUAUAUUAAUAGCUGGUAUUCAAUACUUUCUCAUGGAUUACGGAAUUUCCGACUUAAAUAUUUCUUUCAAAAUAUUAAUAGGGAUUGUUCAACAUAAUAUUCUAUCAUAUUCAUGGUAAUACGUUUUAAGCUAAAUGAGAGGCCAACAAAAAAAAUUAACUAUGCAACAUGCUUCAAGUGUCACGUAGACGAACCGCACAAACUUUGCGUAAAAGAAGACAACUCUACUCUCUAUAUUUUAUUGCUGAAAAGAAAUUGCUGGUAAUCUAUUUUGACUUGCGAUAGUUAGAUUAACUAUUAACUAGAUUUAAAACAAGUUUUUACAAAUUGCAAACUUUCAUUUAAUAAAGCUUCAGGAGCAUAUCGUCACCUGCCAUGCAAAAUAACGUAGUAACAUUUUUGGAAAUUUACAGAGGCAUGAAUGAAACACGACAUAAAAUGGAACAUGAGUGAAAAAAAAAUUGAUACUGUCUAAAAGUGGGUUAUAACUGAGCUCAGAGCCUGAAAAUGUUGAACAUUUGUAAUAUUAUUCCAUCAACACCAACUGUCAAGUCUAAUUUUGGACAUCAUCUCAGCAAGUCACGGCUAUAGAAGCUCCAUACAUUGAAGAAAUUAGCGAGGAAACUAACACAAAUACACAUACAUUAAAAAUAAUAAUUUUUUGCUCUUACAUUAUGUGUUAGAUUUUUACAAUUAAGUAGGAAUGUUAUUCAGAACUUUUCACUCCACGGCUUUCCAGUAUUUUAAUAAGAAUUAAAAGCCGUGGAAAAAUAAAAAUUCUAUUGAAAUUUCCAUUUAAUUAAGUAUUCCUGACU